GGGGAUUUAGCUCAGUGGCAUAAGCACCUGCCUUGCAAGCAGGCGGUCAUGAGUUCGAUGGUCAUGAGUUCGAUCCCCG
rfam:Cavia porcellus supercont2_28 genomic scaffold, whole genome shotgun sequence.